UCCUCUUUGUUACCAGAUUCCUAACAUGAAUGGUGUAGCCCCUGCCACUUCCUCACUCUUUCCUGAACAUCAUACCGUGCAUCAGACAUCUGAAUAUUGCAGGAAUGGGGUACUUACAUUUGUGCAACUUCUAUUUGUUAUCAGUUCUUCUCACCUAUAGCUAAAGCAAGACGACAAACCAGGUGAAUUAUUGGAGUUGCAAGAUACACAGACUCAGUCAUCUUAAUCUUCUUUUGUAAAUAUGACUGCUGGUGCUGCUGGUAACGCUAUCCAUCGGCUUGUAACUCAUGAGAGGCAACCACAGUUGCCAACUUGAAACAUAUUUUUUUAGGAACGAAGAUCCGAAUCACCCUCACCCCUCAAGAGAAAUCGUUUAGUCAUUCAGGUUCUGGAAUUUCUUUAUAGCUUUCUGAAUUUACUUCGGUCUUGCGUGUAUUUGCUUUCUGUUUGUGCCCCUAUCUAUGUCUGUUUCUUGUUGUUUCUUGUGUGCAAGUGCUCCAUUCUGUGUCUGUCUGACUGUUUGUGGCUUGACUCUCUUGUGUGUGUGGCUUGACUGUCUGUGUGGGACUGUGUGCGAAUAUUGCAUUUGACUGUGACGUGUGACUGUGUGUGUGUGACUCUGUGUUUGACUAUGUGUGUGACUGUGAAUAUUGUGCAUUUGACUGUGAUGUGUGUGACUGUGAAUAUUGCAUUUUGGCAAUGACUGUGUGUGUGUGAUUGUGUGUGGCUUGACUCUGUGUGUGGGGGGGGCUUGUAUGUUUUGCUGAAUGAUUGGUUGGUGUGGCCUAACACUGCCUUUGCCGGUCCCAAGCCCGGAUGCGAAAAUGUGGAGGGAGCUGCAGUUACCUCCUUUGUAUUGUUUGCCUUAGAAGUGUGUUGCAUUUUGACAAUGAAUGUGUGUGAUUGUGUGUGGCCUGACUCUCUGAGUGUGUGUGCCUUGUAUGCUUUGCUGAAUGAUUGGUUGGUGUGGCCUAACACUGCCUUUGCCCCGGUCCCAAGCCCGGAUGCGAAAAUGUUGUUUGCCUUAGAAGUGUGUUGCAUUUUGACAAUGAAUGUGUGUGAUUGUGUGUGGCCUGACUCUCUGAGUGUGUGUGCCUUGUAUGCUUUGCUGAAUGAUUGGUUGGUGUGGCCUAACACUGCCUUUGCCGGUCCCAAGACCGGAUGCGAAA